rnacentral:rRNA from 1 species
UACGUAGGGUGCAAGCGUUGUCCGGAAUUAUUGGGCGUAAAGAGCUCGUAGGCGGCCUGUCGCGUCGGCUGUGAAAACCCGAGGCUCAACCUCGGGCCUGCAGUCGAUACGGGCAGGCUAGAGUUCGGUAGGGGAGACUGGAAUUCCUGGUGUAGCGGUGAAAUGCGCAGAUAUCAGGAGGAACACCGAUGGCGAAGGCAGCUCGCUGGGACGGUACUGACGCUGAGGCGCGAAAGCGUGGGGAGCGAACAGG